rfam:Pristionchus pacificus strain PS312 contig2029, whole genome shotgun sequence.
UCUUCAUUUCAUGUGCUCUCUCACCAGUCAGAGAGACGAGAGAGCAUUAGAAAAAAUGAAGAGA